CACGCCGUAAACGAUGGUGACUAGGUGUGGGGAGCGUAAAGCAUCCUCGUGCCGAAGCCAACGCGAUAAGUCACCCGCCUGGGGAGUACGGCCGCAAGGCUAAAACUCAAAGGAAUUGACGGGGGCCCGCACAAGCAGCGGAGCGUGUGGUUUAAUUCGAUGCAACGCGAAGAACCUUACCUGGGUUUGAUAUGCGCGUGGUAGGAGGCUGAAAGGCUGACGACCCGCAAGGGAGCGCGCACUGGUGC
rnacentral:rRNA from 1 species